UUGGAAUUUUUCUUUAUUUAAAUAAAUGCUUAACACUACAAAAACUGCAGUUUACUACAAGUAACCAAGAGAAUGUGACACCACCUGUGUCCCAAAUCCUUAUGAUCCUUGGGAUACACCAAACGCCAAAUGAAAUUAGGUGGCUUUUUACUGGAGAGGAAAAAAAUCUCUAAAGGGACAGAGCAGAAUAAGUCCUCGCAGGAAUACCGUCCAGAAAGAAAACUGGGACAAGAGCUGC